CGGCGAGCGAAGUGGGAAGGUUGUUGUGCCCAUGUCUGAAAUCUCCGUCCGGUCCUUGGCAGGGCGGCGAAUUGUGGUGUGUAGAGGCGGACUGUCCCGACGUCACCGCUCCUCGAGCCCGAAGUCGACUUGGAACGGCGUGCUUGAGAGGGUGAGAGCCCCGUAGGGCCCGGAAAUCGGGAGCGGCGGGACGAGGGUCCGGUCUCUCAGAGUCGGGUUGUUUGGGAUUGCAGCCCAAAUAGGGUGGUAGACUCCAUCCAAGGCUGAAUACGAGCGCGGGUCCGAUAGCGGACAAGUACCGUGAGGGAAAGGUGAAAAGCACUUUGAAGAGAGAGUUCAAUAGAGCGUGAAACCGUUGGGAGGGAAGCUCAGGGUGCCGAGGCGGUUGGGCGAGCGGAGUUCAUCCGGACUUCGAGAGGAGUGCGGUGCAUUUUCCGAUCGUCUAUGGUAACCGUCAGCGAGAGGUGAGCCCGUCGGUUUUCGGUCGGCGGAGGAGGUGGCGGGACUCGGUUUGCGAGAUCCGUUCGUAGAGCUCCUACCGAGCGAGCGGCGUGGCGAUCCUCUGGGAUGUUGGAGCGUCUUUUCGCUCUUGGGAAGUAGGUGCGGGUCUUCCCGUGAGGGAAGGUUGCGGGCACCGGGUGGUUGUCGUUCGGUCGUUUCGGUGGACGUGUGCGGCGGUCGGGUGAAUUCUCGUCGGUUGUGCAGUUUUCGGUUCGGGUGGUCGAGUUGCCCGGGUGGUCACGUUGCCGCGCCCAGGUCGCUGGCGUGGAGUCGGUCCCCUGUGCCCCGUCUUGAAACACGGACCAAGGAGUGCAAGUGGCACGCGAGUCCCAGGGUGGUGGUCCGGCUUCAGAGUCGGUCCGUAGCGAAAGCCCGUUCGAAAGGCAAAGCGAGAGCAAGUGCCGGAGCAAUCCGGYGGGUGCGAGAGCCGUUUCGGUUGGAACGGCGCAUCGCGGACCGAGCCAACGGUCACGCCGUGGCCGGCUUCGAGUGAGAGCGUGUCUGUUGCGACCCGAAAGAUGGUGAACUAUGCCCGAGGAGGGCGAAGCCAGGGGAAACUCUGGUGGAAGCUCGCAGCGGUUCUGACGUGCAAAUCGAUCGUGGCACUUGGGUAUAGGGGCGAAAGACUAAUCGAACCAUCUAGUAGCUGGUUCCCUCCGAAGUUUCCCUCAGGAUAGCUGGAGCCUUUAUUGGUCAGUUUCGUCGGGUAAAGCGAAUGAUUAGAGGUAUCGGGGUCGAAAGGACCUCGACCUAUUCUCAAACUUUGAAUCGGCGAGUGGGGAUGGAGCCUUGCCUGCGGGAAGGCUACCAUCGGUUCGGAAUGUAGUGGCUCUCGGUGGGCCGUUUUUGGUAAGCAGAACCGGCGAUGCGGGAUGAACCGAACGUCGGGCUAAGGCGCCGGAGUCGACGCUGAAGAGAUACCAUGAAAGGUGUUGGUUGAUCCAGACAGCAGGACGGUGGCCAUGGAAGUCGGAAUCCGCUAAGGAGUGGGUAACAACUCACCUGCCGAAUCAACUAGCCCUGAAAAUGGAUGGCGCUGAAGCGUCGCGCCUAGUUUCCCGACACCCGCGGGCAGUUGUUGGUUGCGUUUGCCCCGGGUAGUAGGAGGGCGCGGAGGUCCCAGGUCGGUAUGGUUUAGCCGUGCAGCCCGCGGCGCGAGCGCGGGUGGAGCGGCCUCCGGUGCGGAUCUUGGUGGUAGUAGCAAGUAUUCAAGGGAGGUCCUUGAAGACCGAAGUGGAGAAGGGUUCCGUGUGAACAGCAGUUGGACACGGGUGAGUCGAUCCUAAGGGAAAGGGUAGUCCCCUGUGCCUGAAGGGGCACCCGUCUCCCGGAAGGGGUUCGGUGGACGUUCGCCUCCUCGCGGGGCGUUGGGAAGUCGGGUCCGUCCGGGUGUUUGGCGUAGGUGCCGGGCCCCGAAAGGGAAUCGGGUUAACAUUCUCGAACGGGAGUGCGGAGUCGGCCUCGGCCGGUGGCGGUAACGCGACCGAACUCGGAGACGCCGGCGGGAGCCCCGGGAAGAGUUGUCUUUUCUUUUCGACGGAGGUUUCCCCUGGAAUCGGAUUGGCCGGAGAUAGGGUUUCCGGAUCCGGCAUAGCGCCACACUUGAGGUGGCGUCCGGUGCGUUCCCGACGGCCCUUGAAAAUCCGAGGGAGGGCAGGUUGGACUGUGCUGUCGCACCCCGUCGUACCCAUAACCGCAGCAGGUCUCCGAGGUGAGCAGCCUCUGGUGGAAUGGAACAAUGUAGGUAAGGGAAGUCGGCAAAAAGGAUCCGUAACUUCGGGAGAAGGAUUGGCUCUGAGGGCUGGGUCUGUCGGGCUGCCCACCGAAGCCGGGCGGAGUCGGUGGUGGACUGGCUGGAGGUGUUCGUCUCCC
rnacentral:rRNA from 1 species